ACAGGUUAAAACAGCAAAUAAAUUAAAUCUGUACGGGUAAGUUGUUUUAGUUUUAAAAAAAUAAUGAAAAAGCAGACUCAGGAAAAAGUCAAUAAAAGCAGUCUGAAAGCCACACUAGUUGCAUCACCAGCCCUCCCUGCCCUCCAGCCUAUAAAGUGUUUUAGUUUCCUCUCCACGGGGACUGUGAUGACAUGGGAAGUGUCCACGUCACAAGGACGUCGCUGACGGGGGAUGAGGAGACUUAGACAAAAAGCCACCUGCCCUGCUUUUCCCCGGAGCCAGCCAUGUGCUUCAGUCUCCUCUGCUGUGUGGCCCUUUUGUUCUGGGGAGCAGGCUCCAUGGACACGGGGGUCACCCAGAGUCCUGGACAUCUGGUCAGAGGAAAGGAGCAGAGAGCAAAGAUGCACUGUGUCCCCAUAAAAGGACAUAAUUAUGUAUACUGGUAUCGUAAGAAGCUGGAAGGAGCGUUCGAGUUUUUGGUUUACUUACGGAAUGGAGGAAAUGUUAUGGAAGAGGCAGAAGGGUUUAAACAGCGAUUUUCGGCUGAAUGUCCCCCAAACCCACCCUGCAGCCUGGAAAUCAACUCCACUCAGGCAGGGGACUCAGCGCGGUACUUCUGUGCCAGCAGUAAAUCCACAGUGCUGAAUGCUGGCUCUUCUUAGAACACAAACUCAUCAUGGGCCCAGCUCAGGAAAUCAGUGGUGUAUGAGGUGGGAGGGGAGUAACAGAAACGCAACUUGAAAGACAUUAACCA